UGUAGUAAAAAGAAAAUCCGUUGGCUUUAUUGACCGUGAGGGUUCAAGUC
rnacentral:tRNA from 1 species